rnacentral:lncRNA from 1 species
UUGAAGAAAAUCUUUGAUAAUUUCUUUCAGCUCGGUGGUAUUCGAAGAUUCGAUCGAUUGUGGGACUGGUUUCUUCCCUUCCUUGUGUAACUGCCGAAUCAAGUCUUUCAGGAGGUACUGAAAGUCGCAUGUUUGAGAGACAGUUACCCAAGCACGAACUGGGAAGUGCCUUCUGACUUCAGGAUCCUCGUGGACUCUUUUCACUAGGGUAGUUUUGCCAAGUCCUCCCAUACCAACCACUGAAACAACUUUCAGUUGGUGAUCAUCCCCUUCUAGGAGCUGAGAAAUUAGAUGUUUCUUGGGCUGGUCAAUGCCAACUAAUUUAGCUUCUUCCACAAGCAGCGCAUCAUCUCUGCUAUAGCGCCAUGUUGUGUUGUUCACAGCAGAAAGUGAGUUGGACGGUUGGGCAGAGAUACCAUAUUCAGAUUGGUAUCUUUGAUGACCUUCAGAAAUACUUUUGAUUCUGGACUUGAUGCUUCGUAUUUCGCUAGCAACUCGAUGACGAGCUCUCAAAUUCUUGAUGCAGCUGAAAAUUCUCCGAACAGAGCCGUAGAAUCCUGUUGGGAGAUGCCGAGCAAAGCGAGCUACAAAUUCAUCAAGAAUGUCUUCAGUGUCAUAAGCAGCUUCUCGCACUUGCUUGAUCCAUUCUUGGAGCCUGGGUUGAGCAUCUUCUUCUUUUGCUUCUGCCUCUCUCAGGAAAGCUCUCAUGUGCCCCAACUCAUCCCUGAUGAAUUGGACCUCUUGCCGAAGCCCUCCCAAUAGUCGUCCCUCCUCGCGCAGAAAAGUUGAGAGUUGAUCCAGCACAAAAGAGAGAACUGUUUCUGCCAUUUUCAGUCUUUUUUCUAGCUUGAGAAUGUCGGGGAAGGCAGGGUCUCGUUUAUGGGACAGUCCACUUGUAGUAUCUUGAAAGGAAGAAGGAAGAGGAGGUUAUAGAAACAUAAGCUGAUGAACUUUGACGCUAUAUGGUGCAGUAUUUAUCAAAAAGAAAAUCCGCAUCAAACAGAAAAAGAAAGAAUUAACCGAUUAGAAGAAACUAAAGCAAGAAACUGAAGACAAGAAGAUGGACGGCAACGUGAUUGUGAGAGACGAAGCUGCCUUACCUGCCGAAAUACAAAAUCAUGGAAGCUAUUAAGAAGACACUGCAAUUAGUAUAAGAUAAAGGAUAAAGAUAAAGGAGCAUCUUUCAACUGUGGGUUCUUUACGAGGGGAAGGAAUAAAGUUAAGGGUAAAUUAUAUUUUACCCCCCUGUGGUUUACCCUUUUUUACAUAACCCCCCUAUGGUUUCAAAAGCUAUACAUAAUCCCCUCAUGGUUUGGAUUAAAGUGUCAAAGUAACGGAAAUAGUUCCUCGUAACGGAACUUCUAAAAAUGUCGAAAUUACCCUUAUAAAUACAUGACACAUUAACCCCCUAUGAUUUUUAUAUUUUACCAUAUAACCCCCUUAUGGUUUAAUACUUUACCAUAUAACCCCCUUAUGAUUUUCAAAAUAUACACAUAACCCCCCUUGGUUAAUACAUAAAUUUCAGCCUUACAUAAGGGUAUUUUUGAUAUUUUAGAUGACGCCGUUACGAGUGACUAUUUUCGUUACUUUGACACUUUAAUCCAAACCAUAAGGGGGUUAUGUAUAGCUUUUGAAACCAUAGAGAGGUUAUGUGAAAAAAAUACUAAACCACAGAGGGGUAAAGUGAAAUUUGCCCUAAAGUUAAACGCGGUUGGGCAUUAUUAUAAAGACACUGCAAUUAGUAUAAAGGCCGUUGUUUUUUCAUUGAUUGCUUCGAGCUGCCGUUUUUUUUUUUUUUUUUUUUUUGGUGGUGGUUUGGUGUAUAUCCCGAAUAGUUCUCAUCACUGUCUUCUCUGGUUAGUGUUAUACGUUUAUCCAUUAAUUUUACUCAAGAUUGGCUCAGAAAAGCAACAAUUUGAGAGAGAUGAAGGAAAUAUUUUGACGUUCAGUCGGAAAAAAGACAUGGAAUGUAUUAAUUACGCUUUUCCUGACAAUUAAUAAUCCUCAAGUUGACAUAUGCAUCGUAAACAUGCUACAGUUUUGAGCGCAUUGUGAUUUUCAGUUCGGAUAAUGUCUGACGUAACUACUAGGGGCAACUGGUGUCCCUGUUUUUUGAUAAUUGGCCAGAAACUUGUGUAAAUUAUGGCAAUAGAAUAAUGACGUAGUGUCGUUCAUGCAUUAAUACGUGGUGUCGUUCAUGCAUGAUAAAAGUUAGAGUCCUGCAUGACUAACAGAAAUUUAUUUCAACUAAACCAUAUAUUUCUGCAUAAAUCCUAAAACUUUUGGAAGUCAAUUCCUACUCCAUAAAGAAUUCUACUUCAAAACCAAGAUCUCAAAGUCCAAUCACGUAAAAAGGCCAAUUAUUUUUAAGAGUGCAUUCAUGUUUGGAAUUUAAUAGAGUCAUUAAAAUGUAUGAUGACGGCAUUGUAAGAAAAAAAUUUUAAUCACUAACCCAAAUGUGGCUAUGCAUUUUUUAUUUCUGUUUUAGAUUUAACUUGUCGAGGUUCCCUUCAUGGCUUGCACUAAAGGGUGAUUGCUUUUUUUUUUUUUGGGCCGAAAGAUAUUACUUUCAUAUGUAGUUAAGAACUGUUACAAAGUUGCAGCAACUGCUCCUGCAUCUUCUCCAGCUAAUCUAACUAACCAGAGUGAAAAGGAAUCCUAUUUUUAUACUUUGAACACAUAAAAAUGCUAUUUUUAUACUUUGAAUCACAAAAUGCAUAAUUCACUAAAAACCUAGUUAAUUAGUUAUAAAAAUGAAUAAAAUACAUCAAAAAUAAAUAAUAAAACAUAUUUAAAUCACUCAAAAUGCACACUUAAGUACUUACUUUGCUUUACUUCUUUCAUUCCACCAAGAAUUUCCUCUAAAGGGUGAUUAUUUUCCAACUAGUCGGUGUUUUAGACUAGGGGUGGCAAUUUUCGACACGACCUGAAAACACGACACGAACCUAACACGAAAUUAAUGGGUUUGGGUUGAGGUUUCGAGAAUUCGGAUCAGAAUCGGGUUGAACCCGAUGAACCCGAAAAGAAAACAUGUCGAUUUCGGGUCAACCCGUGGUGACCUGAUAUGAACCGAUAUGACCCGUUUAUGAAUUAAAAAUAAUUUAAUAAACAUAAAAAUAAUUUUAUCUAACUAAACUAAGUUUUUUUUUCAAAGGCAUUAAUUACUUAAUCCUAAAUGAAUUUAUUUAAUUUGUGUGAAGUUGAAAUUAUUAUAUUUGGACAAAUAAUAUAUUAUAUUAUUUUGGGUAAAUUACAUUUUACCCCCCUGUGGUUUAUCCUUUUUUUACAUAACCCCCAUAUGGUUUCAAAAGCUAUACAUAACCCCCUCAUGGUUUGGAUUAAAGUGUCAAAGUAACGGAAAUAGUCACUCGUAACGGAACUUCUAAAAAUGUCGAAAUUACCCUUAUAAAUACUUGACACAUUAACCCCCUAUGAUUUUUAUAUUUUACCAUAUAACCCCCUUAUGGUUUAAUACUUUACCAUAUAACCCCCUUAUGAUUUUCAAAAUAUACACAUAACCUCCCUUGGUUAAUACAUAAAUUUCAACCUUACAUAAGGGUAUUUUUGACAUUUUAGGUGACGCCGUUACGAGUGACUAUUUCCGUUACUUUGACACUUUAAUCCAAACCAUAAGGGGGUUAUGUAUAGCUUUUGAAACCAUAGGGGGGUUAUGUGAAAAAAUGCUAAACCACAGGGGGGUAAAGUGGAAUUUGCCCUAUUAUUUUUUACUUUUAUACUGUUUUAACUUAUUUUAUAUUUUGUUUGGGAUAAAACACUUUUACAGUGUUUAAUUUAUUUUAGAUUUGGUUUGGAAUUAUUUAUUUAAAUUUUUAUUACUUGAUUAUGUAAUUAGUUUUGUGAGAAAUUAAUUUUAUUAGAAAUUACAGUGAUAAAUUAAUAAAUUAAAAUUAAGUUUCGGCUCAUUUCGAGUCGACCCGCCAACCCGUCAACCUGAAAUUUUCGGGUUCGGGUCAGUAUACCUGACCCGUCACGGGUUGACGGGUUAACAGAUUUUCUGACGGGUCGGGUCUGACCCGACCCGCCAACCUGAUUUGGACCUGAAUUGCCACCCCUAUUCUAGACAUUGAUAGGUUUCAGCUCAUUAGAUUUACUAACAUUUUUUUUUUCCUUUUAACGACUUAAAUUUUUUUAUCAUCAAAUGCAAUUCCAUUAUGCAACUCAUUUUCAUCAUUUGGUCCAUAAUACCUUGGUAAAUCAAUACCAAUUUGAAAGAAACAAUAACUAAAAAUUAACACAAAAAGAAACAUUUUAAAAGUGGAAUAAGGAUGAAAAGGUAUGAUCACAUUGUCGACAGUAAUAGUGACAGAGUUGAGGAUGAACAUUUUCGCAAUCUCACAAAAGACUUGAUGUUGACCAUUGAAAAAAGGAAACAAUUAGAUGAGCAAUAAUUAUCUCACCAAUGCUUUACACUCUGUACUAUCAUAUAAUACAAGGUAAUUCAAAUUGAACUUGCAGUCUAACAGCUGCGUGAUUAAUGACCAAAAGAAGGUUUGGUAUACGUUAAUUAGUCACAAAUAUUUGUGAAAAGUGCAAAACCUAGGAUCCAAUAGCUUGUAUACUUGCAAGAAAGUAGUACAAAAGCAAACGAUAAUUGAUUUGGUCGGAAUGUGAUCAGAGCAUUUUAUAAGCUAGAAUCUUAUACUAAUUGAUGAUAAAGCAUUUAUGAAAUGGUUAGAGUCUUGCUCUCAUACUAACAAAUCAAUUUCUCAGCUUGAGGUGUAUAUGAUAACAAAUUUAAGUUUCUGUUUAAAAAGUAUAAUUUGCGAAAGCAAAUUUUUCGUGAAUUGCCAGGUUUUAUUAUUCUUUUUUAUCGGUCAAUAACUUCCAAGUAUUAUAUUCAUGGUUUCUUUUUAGAAAUUCCCAUUUUUUAUUUGAUAUAUUUACUUUAAUUUGACAUAUAAGCAUUAUUCAAUGUAAUAUGCAGGAGGUUUUUACUGGCUUCCGCUACUGUCAAAAAUUUUGUUUUCUUUUGCAAAUCAAAAUCAAAUUAGGAUUUUCCAAUUAACUAGUAAUAACUUGAUUAAGUUCAAAUUACAAAACACCAUCACAUGUAAUCGUACGGAGUUGAAUGAAAUUUAUCAACAACUCGUUAUAAAUAUGGUACCAAAGUAACCUAGUUAGUGCUAGCAGCUCGUGAUCACCAAUUUAAUCUAUCAUCUAACUUCUUUCUUUCUUUCUUUCUUUCUUUCUUUUCCCUCGUUUUCAUCGAUAACAGUAUAGUUUGUCACCAUUGCCCAACAGUGUCCUUUUGGACAGAAGAACUAGAAAGCCAAACGAAGGAGAUCAGUAAAUUAAUCACAAGAUGCCUUGAGCUUACAAGAAUCAUCCUUGAAAACGUCCUUCUGGACAAAAAAGCUAAAACCCAAAUUGAAGGAGAUUAAUAAAUUAAUCACAAGAUGCCCUGAACUUACGAGGAAGCCAAUUAGUGCAAUAAUACACCAUAUUUUAUAGAUGGGAAUCUGCAAGUGGUGGAGUUGGGUAAGACUCCGCUGAUGCAAUUGUGGGGUUCAAAAUAAUGCAAAGAUGACAAUAGUGAGUUGGAGCCGGCUCAUUCCAGUUGCGAUAGCAAAAUGCUCUUCUCUACCAGUCUCAUUCAGCAGCAAAGUCGGAGUCCGUUCCUUGCAUCUUGAUCUUGAGAUUUGGGCAGAAAUUGAUAACAGCAUUGGGCCUUAGGUUUGGUAAAUGAAAUUGUCUGUAACGUUCAAAGGCUGUUUGUGAAGACAGUUUUCAACCAAAGCUAUUUUGAUGACUUUGCCCCUAAAAAGCACACGUGCAAGCCACGUGAUAGCCAUUCUAUUUGUUUUGGCCAUUGAAUUAGCUAGACAGAAUAACUAAAAACAUAUAUAAUUUUGUUAGUUUAGCGAUAUUUUCGGCUAAGGAAUUAAUUUAGUGACCAAAAGUAGUACAAGUGAAUAAUUUAAUGGCAUUUGAUGCAAUUGACUCUUAUUCUAUCGAGGGUACAAGAAAGCAGCCCAAAUUGGAUAAAAAAAUACAAAAUUAUGAAUGAAAUGUAGAAAGUAAUUGAGAAAUCCAUAAAUUACCCUCAAAUGUCAAAAGAGUGGUGUUUUUCACCUACCAACGCACCCUUUAGGCUUUAACCCACUGCCCACCCACCUCUUUUUAAAAUGAGUGGUAGAUAUAUAGAUAAUUGCAUUGCUUUUCCGACUAAAAUGGGGUUGUACUUUAUUAAUCUUAUUAUUCUGUUUUUCUUUUGAUCAAAUGAUGUCGUACUCAAAUAGAGAGGAAUUUGCUAAGGAAUAUAAGAGUUCAAAUCUUAUCUAUUAAAAACUAGCUUUCUUAAUUUCAAAGAAGGAAGUUGAUUAGAGAUCCGUUCUUCAUAUUCUGGUUUUUAACACAGUAGAACUUAAACAUUUGCUAACCCUUAUGUUAAUCAAACAAAAAGCCAACCAAUCGUUCUUGAUUACCCAUAUGUUGCUAAAUCUUAUCGUCAAGAUCGGAUCUUGGUUGCCUGCAUAAAUAUCAUCUUUUAACUUUUCAAUUAAUUAUGCUGGAAAAUGAAUACCAGUUCCACUUCACUGCUAGUAUCAACAGGAUUUACUAGUAUUAGGAAUAAAUGUAAUUGAGACAAAAAAUGUGAUACUUAAUAUUUAUAUUAUUUUAUAUUUUUUCUGAACUUAGUUUGCUCUGACCAAUACAAAUACACAAGCAAUAAAUUAUUCUUUGUUCCAAGAGCACUUUUAUUUUGUAAUAGUAUUAAUAGGAAAAGUCUGAAGUAACGAUAGUUAUGGUAACGAAACUAUUUUUACCUGAUAUAACAGGUAAAAAUACUUUUAGCGACCAUUUGAUGACCUGUUGUACUGGUCAUCUAAAUGAAAUAGUACCUAAAAUGGUGGUUAGUAAGUUUUCCAUAAAGAAUAGUAAGUUAACUCGAUAUAUUAGUAACUUUUAUGUCUCAAAAAGUAAACUUGAAUAAAUAUGGAACUAACUUUGUUUUUUAUGAAGUAAAAUAUUACUCUAUAUCUGAAACUUAGUUUUUGGAGGGUAAGUUUAGUUCAAGUAAUAGUAAGUUUUUAUAGAUUAAUAGUAAAUAUUGUUGAUAGAUUAGUAAAUUUGGUUAAUCAUCAAAACUUAAUAGUUUGUGGCAUAAAUUUACUAUUUUACUUAAAGAAACUUACAAUUGUACGUAUCAUUUAUAAAUGUUAUAUGUUCGAAGCAUUUUAAAUAUACUAUGAAAACUUUUUUUUUUGCAUAUGACCUUAUAAAAUAUGUAAGAAUAAUUUGUCAUAUUUUAAAUUUUUUAUUACGGGAAAAUAAACAACUAAGUUCCCAAAAUAUUUCACUUUUAUUGUUUAAAAAAUCUCAACUUGUUGGUUAAAUUCAAAAUAAUUCAUUUUGUCAAAAAUAGUUUUUCUCAAAUUAACUUUAAUGAUUGGAUGUGAGAUACAAAAAUGGUAAAAUAUCCCUCAUACAUAUGUCAUGGAUAUUUCCGACUUUUAGUAAAAAAAAAAUUUUGUUGUUAAAAUAACAUUUAUCAUAGUGUACUAAUUAUUUUAGAACCAUUUUAUAGGUGAACUAAAUAUAAUUUAAAUUAUACAAUAAAUUAUACAUGCAUGUGAUUUUCAUUUAUAAUUAUUGGAUCCUAUUCUUAUGAACAAUCUCCCAAGGAAAAAAAUCAAGAUCAUACUGAUUUUCUUAUAUUAAUUGUUAUACUAAUUUUGUCAUUUUUAUUAUUAUAUUAUUUCUCAUUUUGUUUAGGCCUUAACUCUUAUUAUUUCUUGUGUCUCAGAUGUAAAUUUAUUAAAACUUUAUCAUCUUACUAUUACUUUAUCAAGAGUUAAUAUUUAUGUAUAAAAACUUACUAUUACUUGAAUUAAGCUUACUCUCUAAAAAGUAAGUUUGGGAAAUAAAGUAGUAAUUUAUCUAUUUAAAAAGUAAGUUUAAUAUUUAUUCCAACUUACCUUUUGAAGUAUAAAAGUUACUAAUUUUUUACUGUUAACUUAUUAUUUUAGAUAGAAAACUUACUGUCUUAUUUUUAAGUGUUAUCCUAUUUAGGUGGAUAGACCGAUCAAAUAAUCAAAUGGUCGCUAAAAGCAAAUAAAAAAUAAAUCGAAAAUGGUAACGAAAUUUGUUAUCCUAUUUAUGUCUUAAAAAGUAAAAUGAAAUAAAAUUGAAAGUUACUUUUUAAAAAAAAAAUAAAUUACUGCCUUUAUUCGAAACUUUCUUUUUGGAGAGUAAGUUUAGUUCAAGUAAUAGUAAGUUUUCACGGAUUAAUAGUAAAUCCUGUUGAUAGAAUAGUAAAUUUGGUUAAUUAUCAAGACUUACUAGUUUGUGGCAUAAAUUUAAUAUUUUACUUAAAAAAACUUAUAUGAAACAAGUAUUAGAAAGUUUAUUUAAAAUAAUGCUAAGAUUUUUUUGUUAAGGAUUGAAACUUAAUAUUAUAGUUAGUAAUUGUUGGUAACGUAAAUGUAUAAUAUAUGGUUGUAUGUAUCAUUCAUCAAUGUUAUGUGUUUUAAGCAUUUUAAUAAAUGUAUGUAUCAUUUACAAAGGUUAUGUGUUCUAAUAAAUUUAUUUUCUAGGUCACAAGCAUAAAAGUUAAAUUUGUACUAAUGUGGCAUAAUCUUUGAAAACUAUAGUAAAUUUACCCAUAGAUUAAGUUUCGUGAGAUUCAAAUAUAUUUUGUAUCAUUUACAAUAUGGAUUUAUAUGCAUAUAUAUUUUUUUUAUCAAACUUACUUUUAAUUGGAAAUAGUAUGUAAAUUAUUAUAAAAUGUCAUUUUAUAAUAAUCAUAUUUUUUAUAGGUGAAUGGUAUAUAAACUGCUAAAAUGGCCAACUUAUAAAUGCUAAAAUCUAGUUACUUUAUGGCAUAUAUUAGUUUGAUCAACUAAAAAAUUAGCGUAAUUAAGUGUACGUUGGUUGUUGAUUUGAAAUUUGCACCCUUGUCACUAUUUCGUUAUUUCUACCACAAGUUUUUGUGAUCAAAGUAAAACAAAGUCAAAUAUUUUUACCUGAUAUAAGUUGUAUUUAUAUUUAGUAAAAAAUUAAUAAACCAUGAUUACAUUUCAUAAUUUCUAAUGAAAUUAGUAACAUUUUGUAAAUAAAUUGGAAUAAUUUGUAAAAUAUGUUAUUUUUUUGACAAUAUAAUUAGGGGUGGCAAUCGGGUCCAAAUCGGAGUGACGGGUCGAGUUGAGACCCAGGUAUAAUAGAUAACUGGCUGACCCGAACUUGACCCCCCAACCCGAAACGGGCCAGGAUAUCCGACCCGAAUCUGAAAAUUCCAGGUUGUCAGGUCGGCGGGACGACCUGAAUGACCCAAAACUUAAUUUUAAUUUAUUAAUUUACCACUGUAAUUUGUAAUUCACACAAGACUAAGUGCCUGUUUGAUAACAUAAAAAAGUGCUGAAACUGAAUUCAUUCAGACAUUCAGAUGUUAUGGGUGUUUGACCCGAAUUCGACCCAUUUUCAUUUCGGGUUCGUCGCAUGCGACUCGAUUCUGACCCAAACCCGCGAAACCUCAAUCCGAAUCAAUUAAUUUCGUGCUAGGUUCAUAUCAUUUUUUCAGGUCGACAUUUUAUAAUUGCGACCCCUAAACAUAAUCAAAAGAAAUUUGCAGCAUAAAGAAAGGAUGAUGGCAUACGUAUAAAUGUGAGCAACUAUAUACAUAUCACACCAUAAGUUUUCGUUUGAUUUGUUCAAAACAUAGGUAAUAUAUUCGUUAGUAGAUAUAAAAUGCAUAUUAAUUUUCUACAAAUGAAAAAUACAAUUUCAUAUAUACUAACUAUUAACAGAAUUUGUAGUUUGAACACGAUCAAUUGAACGCAUAUUUCGUUUCUUUAGCUAUCAUUUAUUUUGUUACUUAGGUUGAAUAUUUACAUUUGAAUAGAGUAUUGAUAUUUACAUAUUUCACUUAUUCUUAAUGAACUUCAAUUAAGUGUCAAUGACAACAAUUACUAAAAUAUAGUUUUCUUAAAUUUUUUGAUGCUGUUAAUCAUUUGAUGCUGUUAAUGUUAAUAUGUUGGAUUACUUCUGUUAAAUUUGUAGGGGUGGACGAGGUCUUGAUUUCGUUUAUACAGAGCUAAAAGAGCUAUUUCUAAAGAACGAUGGGAUCAGGAAACCAGAAAUCGUCUGGUUUGUUCUGGGAUUAGGCGAUAAUCCUCUCUCUUGUAGGAUUUUAGUUUUGAAAGUUUCCAAAUUAUCCAUUCGAUAACAGAAGAAGCGGAGUCGGUGAGGAUCCUUCCUGGAACGCGGAUAAACAUACCCCAAAGCAGGGUUUGGAGAGGAUACCCCCGCAAUAAGGAUCUCACUGGUCUUUUGUCGUCUAUCUAUUUUAAAUUGGAGAGUUGGUUACAAUUUCUGGUUAAUAUCAUGACCCGAUCGAAAAUUAGCUAUGAAAAUAACAAGUCAACAACACCACACCACCAAUGCAUAGCAGGAGAUGCCUUGUAUUCCAUCCAUGUAACCAUUAAACUUGUUACAAAAUCAAGAAAAGAUGAGUGAACCAAGAACUAGACCAAACACCUAUCAGCUAAUCUCGAUCAUCACUUCAUCCUCACAGGUGAAAUUAAAUCUUCAAAUUCUCAGCCUUGAGUUCGCAAGAAAAUCUUGACAAACAAAACAAAUGAAAUAUAAAUAAAUUACAGCAAUAUAGUCAAACGAUUUCAAGUGGACAUGAUGGACUAACCUCGGCACGGCUCUCUUUGAUUGGCUACCACCGUCGCAAAACCCUUUUGUUGUGUCUGCAUUUGGCAGCACCCAAAACCAACCGAUCGAUGAGAAAGGAUAGAGGGAAAGUGUGAACUAAAGAUGAAAAUUUUGAAGUGAGAAAAUUUAUUCAAUUGUAACCAAGAGAAAGUGUGGACCAAAGUGGAAACCUUGGCCUGGGAAUUCGAUCGAAUCGUUGGAACUGAGAACUAAAUAAGAAGAAGGCAGAUGACUCUAAAGAGAUAGGUGAUACCCGAAAGUGUUUCAGGAACCCAAAACCGUUUUCAGGAACCGGUAAUUUUUUUUUACUUAGAUAUGUACAUUUUUUACUUUUAGUAUUAGUAAGUUUGAUUUAAACAUAAGUAAAUUUUGUCAAACAAUAAGUAAAUUAAAUUACUCACAGUGUAAAUUUGUAUUUCUGACUAAAACUUAUCUUUCAGGCAUAUACUUACUAGUUUUAAUUAAAAACUUACUAAAGUUAAUAUUAAUUAUUUUAAUAUAAUAUUUCAAAAGAGGCCGCUGAAAAAUUUGAUCUAUCACUAAAGGUAAUGGAAACCUAUAAUAGCAGGUUUCCCUAAUAUCGUUACCAUAACUAUAGGCACUGUAGCAUUGUCAAGAUCAAAUGCUAAACUUCACAAAAUGAUGAAUGGAAACUGAUUUAUUAUGAUUAAAUGACAAAAUUAGCUAAAAUAUUAAUCAAAUGAAAAUCAAAACUAUAAAUUCUUCAAAAUUAUUAAACCUUCCCUAUUUCAUCCUAAAAUUCACGAAAAAUCUGUCCAAAAAACAUAUUAAAGCAUGCCAACAACAAUUCAGAUUUUGAAGGGACAAAAUUGAUUGUAUUUUCCUAAUUGUUAUGGGCCUUAGUAACAUUAAGCCAAAAUUCGAGGGUUAAACAUGCAAUUUCUGAAAUUUGUUGCAUGCAUGUUACGAAGCUUUCUUAUGCUUCUGCAAUUUCUUAUCCGCAAGGUUCUGCAAGUUUCCAUACCGCAACUUUCUUUCCAUUUCAGCAUGCAGACAUGUUCACCAACUACCAGGAUCUUAACUCUCAAUUAUCAACUAAAUCAAAAGCUACAUUUUGUUGCAGGAUUAAAGCAAAAAUCUGAGCUGACCGUCAGGGACAAAGGGAACUAAUCAGCAAAAGAAAAAAAAUGCAGCAGGACCUUUCUCUGCAAAAUCACAUUUACAAGCUUUCCGUAGCUCUCGGCUAUUCAUCACCUAAAUCUAUCGCACAACAAUGAACGAAAAGGGAACUACAACAUGCCAUUUUGAUAAGAAAAACAAUUCCAUCCCUCUAGCAUCAAGAACAUGAACUAAACUACCCAACCUGAUAAACCCUCUUUCUGAAACAAGAACAUACAACGCAGGAGCAAAGAAUCUGGCUUGACUGAGAUAGAAAGAGGGAGGCCUCAACAACUCGAGCGUAUAAAACACAAAAGAAAGACCAAUGCAACAUCAAAACCUUAGGUUUCCUUUUAAAAUUCUGGUUGAAGACUUUUUGCGAGAAAAUUAUUUCAAUCAGUACCAACCUACCCCAUUACCGAUCACUGGAUUGAGAGCAAGAGGAAAGGAAAGAGGAUAUACAAACGGAUACUUAUGCAUAUUUUAAUAGAAAAUAAGUACAGAAUUCAUUCAUCAAAGCUGUCAACGGAUACUUAGGCACAUUUUAAUAGAAAAUAAUUGCGGUAAUUUUUAUACAUACCGAAAAUUAAUAGAAAAGAAAAAUCAAAGUCUGAUUUAUGACUUCUAAUUUUUAAAAUUUAAGGGGCAGCCAACCAGAGACAAUAUGAUAACUAACAAUUAAUGUGUUCCAUUUUUCAAGUGGGAAUACAAAAUGAAAGAUCAAAAAUAUCUAGAGAAAAAGGACAAAACCGUUUUCCAGGAAAUAGGUAGUCAUUGUCUGCAAGUCAUUUCUACUGAUUUUCAUUUCUUAGUAUUGAAUUGCACCGGCCAAACCCACCCUUGAGGGGGCCUUAACUUCCACGUUUUGCAAAACAGCCACAACAAUAAAGGACAAAAAAAUUAAAAUCAAAGAAAACAGCAAGGACCUCUGUUUUGUCGGUUGGAGGAAGAAUCAGGACGCAGCAAAUUCACAACCUUAGAUUCAAGAACUUAAAGCUUAAAAAAAAUAUAUAUAUAUAUAUAUAUAUUGGAACACCAGAAAUUCAAAAGGCAAAAAAUGCAGAAUCAAGCAAAAAAGGAAGAUAGGAAAACAUCCCUUUAUGCAAAAUUGAAGGAGGUAUAUUAAUAUCUUUUCCCUCUCUGCAAAAUUUCAAGUUAUAUUAUAAGAAACUGAUGAAGCUGCACUCAUCCCAUCACCACAAACAAGACUGGAAAGAGAGUAUUAGUGCUUCUCAUCUAAAUAUGUACAUCUGAUUAAACCCAACAACAAAAAAAAAAAAGAAAAGCUACAAAAACCCAUAAGACAAAAGGGGGGGAAAACAGAAGAAGAAGAAGAGGAAGAAAGCAGGUACAAGGAAGAUGAAAUCACUGUCUCUAAUAUGAUUAUUUAGUUUCCAACAGAAGUAGGUCUAUUUUCAGCCAAUCCCAAGGGUGAUCUUGAGCGCUGUUGUCAACUGACGAGGGUGAUUUCUUUAAGAGCUGGUCUCAUCUCUGGCUGCUGAAGAGCACAGAGUAGCAAUCAUAACACACAGAUUUCUCUUUGACAUUUCACCAAACAUCUUAUAUGCAUUCACAAAUUAAUCACAUUUAACUUAAACGCCUAGUCAAGUCCUAGAUGCUUCAUAUGGCUAUUAAGCAUGUUUUACCAGUAGACAAUCCAAACUACAACCAAAUCAAGGCUAGAUGUUUCAGUGGACAUUUUCAGCCCCAAAAUUGCAAUAAAAUCUUCAAAUUCUCAGCCUUGAUUUCGCAAGAAAAUCUUGACAAACAAAACAAAUGAAAUAUAAAUAAAUUACAGCAAUAUAAUCAAACAAUUUCAAGAGGACAUGAUGGGCUAACCUCGUCACUGCUAUCUUUGAUUGGCUACCACCGUCGAAAAACCCUUUUGUUGUGUCUGCAUUUGGCAGCACCCAAAAACAAUCUAUCGAUGAGAAAGGAUAGAGGGAAAGUGGGAACUGAAGAUGAAAAUUUGAAGUGGGAAAAUUUAUUCGCUUGUAACCAAGAGAAAGUGUGGACCAAAGUGGAAAUCUUUGCCUUCAAUCGUAUGUUGGAACUGAGAACUAAGUAAUAAGAAGGGAGAUGACUUUGACAAGAUGAUAUCCGAAAGUGUUUCAGGAACCCAAAACCGUUUUUAGAAACUGGUAAUUUUUUUACUUAAAUAUGAACAUUUUUUACUUGUAGUAUUGGUAAGUUUAAUUCAAAAAUAAGUAAUUUUCGUCAAAUAAUAAGUAAAUUAAAUUACUCAAAGUGUAAAUUUCUAUUUCUGACAAAAACUUAUCUUUCAGGCAUAAAUUUACUUGUUUUAAUUAAAAACUUACUAAAUUUAAUAUUAAUUAUUUUAAUAUAAUAUUUCAAAAGUCGCUAAAAAAUUGGAUCUGUCACUAAAGGUAAUAGAAACCUGUAAUAGUAGGUUUCUCUAAUAUCGUUACUAUAACUAUAGGCACUGUAGCAUUGUCCAGUAUUAAUAUUUUUGUCUUUGGUUAAAUUGAGAUGACCUAAAUGUUCUUUUUUAUGACAUUUGAGUUUAAAUUUUUAAUUUUUUGAAUAAUUUGUUGCUCCCCUUUAAGUCAUUCUAUGAAAUGUUUAUUAGUUUUAGUGAGAUUUUCUAAUUAUUAUUAUUAUUUGCCAACGGGGGAUGAUCAAAUGAUCUACAGUGCUAUUGUUAUUAUAAUAGUAUCUAAAUAUAUUGAAAUUCCAUUGUUCGAAGUUAAAUAGCUUAACUUUGAAGAGAAAUGUUUUGAUUUGGUGAAACUUAUUAGUAUUUCUCAUUGAUACCAUGUUUUAUGGUUAUCGAAUUUAUACGAAUAAAAAUUGUAAGACAUGAAAGUUAUUUAUUACAUAAUAGUCAAUUUGAACUUGGAUAUAUUUUUAUUCACUUUUGAAGUACUCCUUGAAAUUGAUAUUUUAUAAAAAAAAAUUUUGGCUUAAUUAACCAUAACUCAAAGGGAUGUCUCAGCUUUGCAAUUAUUAUUAUGAUUGGUAUUAAUGAAUAUAAUAUUCAUUAAUUGUAGUUUAAUACUAUUAGUUGUUACAAGAAUAUGAUUGAUGAAGUUCAUUAAAUUUAAUCUUCAUUGCAAUUUAAAUAAAUAAAUUCCCAACAUAAAACUCUUUGCCUACCUUGGUACUCCAUUUUCUAUUUUUUUUUUGCUCAAAACUUAUAUAAGCAUAUUAAAAAGGUGCUCUUAAAGCUUAAUUUACUUUAUCCAAAAACUCAAGGUAGUUUUUUGAGAGAUUCAUAGUUCCAAAUUAUUAUGUUUUGUUUCAUGUUUGAAGUAUCUAAACUUGUUUAUUGUAAAUAAUAUUUGCUCUUCUUUCUUUUGGUAAAUAGAAAAGUAGGAAUUUUUCAUUUUGUAAAUUUCUAGCAUGUUUGAUAGUAUUUAUUAAUGAUGAAAUGCAACGCAAUUUGUCCAUUUAUUAGAAAGGAAUGUAAUUUUGGCAUCACAUAAACUAAUAUCAUUUUUUGCUUACACUAUUAACCACUAAGAUUCACCAUAUUCUUUUAAUAAUUUAUAAAUUAAAUUUGUUCUUCUUUUUUUUUUCAAUUUAAUUCACUAUAACUCAAGGGAAUGUUUUUCAUUCUUGUAAUUGUUGGCAUAUGAAAUGAAAUGAAUUGGUUGUUCUUUUUUUCUUUGUUUCAUUCACAGGAAUCACCACAAUUUAAGAAAUGUUUCUUUGUAACUGUUAGUAUAACUCUUAUAAAUUAUUAAGGAAAUGCAAUGUAAUCUAUCCAUUUAUUAGUGUUAAGAGCAAUAUUGGUAUCACAAAAAUUAAGAUCAGUUUUUGCUUACACUCACAAUAAAGACUCAUCACGCUUUUUUUUUUUUUUUUUUUUUCUCAUUAAUAGCUUCAGGUCAUAAAGAUUACUAAUCUUUUGAGGGAUUGUACCUGCCAAAUAAAACUGUAGUCUUGAAUUAAUGCACGAAAUUGGAAUAUACAAUUUAGAAGCCAAUUAUGAGUCAGGGUCUUCCGUAAGAAGAAUUUAUCAAGAUUAGUACUAAACAGUGUAGUGACUCCUAACAACUUCAGUUUAUUCUUCAUAACUUCAGUUCUUUUGCCACAAAGUACUUAAGAGUGCUUAUUCUCCAUUUACUCUAUCUUAUCUUAUGGCAAAGAUAUAGUUGGCCGGCUCAUCAUUCUCGUCAGGUUGUUUAGGGUAAGAUACAUCUCCUCCAGCAUGGUUAGAUUUCCAAUUUCUCUUGGUAUAGAACCUGUAAGCAGGUUACCAUCGAGACCUAAGAUCUUCAGGCUAAGAAGUUCACCCAUCUCUGGGGAAUUCCACCUGUCGAAUCGCACCGUGGAUGGAUGUGAAGCAGACAUGGGCAACUGAGAUACAGAACUAAACUGCCAAAAGGGAACAGGUAAUUUGAUUAUUGACAAGUGACAUGUUAAAACAACUAGUAAUACCUCGCGUGCUUUGCACGUGAAUAUAUAUUCUUUCAAGGUAUGAAACUUUUAAUAUAUUAAAUUUUUGCACAAAAAUUUUGAUUAUUGGUAUAAUAUAAACUAAGAAACUAUAUAAUGAACAAAAUUAGCAAUUGAUAAUAGUAUAAAAUGUUUAUUGUGUACAAAAUAAUUAAAAGUUUGUUGUGCAUUCUAUAUUAUAAAAACUCUAAAAAUGGAAGAUUAUCAAAUUUAACCUAAGUUGUUGAUAUAAUAUUGACUAAGAAACCAUAUAAUAAACAAAAUUAAACAAUUGCUAGUUGUAGAAAAUGUUUAUUAUAUACAAAACAAUUAAAAGUUUAUUGAACUCUGAAAAUGGAAGAUUAUCGUAUCUAAAGUAAGUUGCUGCAUAUUUUACUUAGAUUGCGACAGUAAGAAAAGAAAAUUUUCUAUGCUGUAUCAAACCAGUGUAUACAACAAAACCUGAGCAGAAUACACAUUAAAACAUUAUGAUUUGGAUACAUUUUUAUCGAUUUCAGAAGUUUUUAACCUUUUCUGUUAUAUUUUUUAUAAUUAUGGAUAAUUUUUUUUUUGAACUUUUCUUAGUCAAUAUGACAUAAUAUAAUGAAUUUAAUCAUCAAUUUAACCUUUUGUUUUCUCAUUAAUUGUUUAUAACCUUUUGUCUUCUUAUUAAUUGUGAUUUUCUUCCAAACCAAUAUGUGUAUAAAAUAUAGUUAGCUUUAAUUAUCACGCAUAAGAAUAUAAUAAUUGAAGAUAAUUUUAACACGUACAAUAAUUGGAGAUGAAGAAAAUGAUUGGUGAAUAUUGUUCUAAGUGGGCAUUCCUUAAUUUUAGUUACCAAUAAUAGAAGAAUUUUUAAUUUUUAAUUUUAAUUUCAGUGUAAAAAUGUUUUUAAGAAAUAGUGAUACACAUUAUAGGUUUAUUAGCACAAAGUAAUUAUACUAGUCAAUGAUGAAUGAUCUCAUAUCAUAUGCAAUGUGAAUUGAAACAUUGGCAAAUUUGGAAAGGAAAGAACAAAUUGGGGGAUACCUAUCACACAAAAAGAGUCGUAUAAUAAACUUGGGUGUACAACCAAUAUUCGCUAUAUUUACUAGACAAACCAUUGUUAAUGCAGGUUGUACAAGCAGAAGUAGGACAAACCAAAUUGGGUUUAUGUAUUAUCUCAAACCAAAAUUUAAAAGUUAUUAUUUGGAGUUUUUAAUGAAAUGGAAGAUAUUAUCAAUACACUUUAACCUGCCUACCUCUUGAUCGUUUGUUAAAUCAAUCAUAGAAAAGAUCAAGAAACAAAAAAUAAAAUAAAAGAGUAAUAUACAGUACAUCAAGUCAUUAACAGCAUCAUGCAAGAAACACGAUAUAGUAUGCAAUAAACACGAUAUAGUAUACAAUAAAUAAGGUAAGACACAGAAAAAAAAAAUGCAAUGUCGUCGCCACAUUCCGCAACAGGGAGGGCAAGCAAACCAGAGAAAGGGAAGCCACGAUUGCUGCUGCUGCCGUUGCUACUUCUUCUCAGCCCACAGGCUGUGUUGUCUCCAUUCCCCAUCAUCUGUAUAGCAACCAAUGACAAUUUCAGGAAUGUGUGCGAUUUUUCUGUAAUCUUCACUUUCUUCCUUCUGAUUCUCUACCUUUUCUAUCAUUUUGGAACUCAUCUCAUACAAAUACAGCCCUUGAAGAUGGCUCAAGUGCUGAAUACCCAAAGGUAACUCAUCUAGCAAUGGAAGUUGUUCCAGAAUGAGUUCAUGGAAACGAGGCAAUGCACCCUCCUCCACUCUCAUCCAUCUCAACCCUUCCAGUCUCUUUAAGUACAUCCACUCCAGCUUUAGGAACCCUCCAGCCUUGAAACACAACCCUUCUCCCUGGUAAGAUCCACAGAAAUUAAUACUAACCAAAUUGGGCAAAUGUUGGAGGGAUUCAAACGGAUCCUCCUCACUCCUUAACCCGCUCCAAUCCAAAUCUAUUCUUACCAAGCCAUGAAGAUGAACUAUCCAUUUUGGCAUCUUUUCUAAGCGGCCACGCAAAAUCAGCAUACGAAGAGAUUGAAGAAACGAAGAAGAAGAAGAAGAAAGAGAAGGAUGAUGAUGAUUUAGAUCAAUUAUCUCAUGAUCAUCACCUUUUCCAAUUGAAGUAACGCUUAAUUCCCGAAGACUGGUGAGGUUAGCAAGGGAGGAGCAGAGCUCCUUUCCAUCUUCUCUUCUCAACUUUGUAAUAUAUAGCUCUCUUAAUUGGGUCAGCUUUCCUAUCUCCUUAACUAUUGUGGAUCCACUACUUGCAUCUAUGCAGUCUAAUAUUUCUAGGGCAAGAAGCCUUACCAUAUUCGAGGGAGCUUUAAAUCCAUGAUAUCCAUAAUCAGCAUCGGAAGAAUCAACUUGUUGAUAUACUCUGAGAACCCGAAGUUUUUGCAGCUUUAGAAUUUCCGUGGGUAAUUCCCUAACUCCAGUCUCUCCCAAAUUCAGAUACUCCAAAUGUUGAAGCUUUCCAAUGGCUUUUGGGACUCUUUCCACUCCUGUACCAUAUAGGUCCAAAUGCUUGAGACGAAACAUCUUGAAAAUCUCAUUUGGUAUUUUCUUCUGUGCCUCUUGGCCAGUCAAAUCCAAAACCUUUAACAGCUUACUACUCCUCGAAACUUCAGAUAACAACAUUUUGUGUAGUAGUAGGUUCGUGGAUCCAACAGUAACGAACGAUCGAAGGUGGUCAAAGCAAUAAUUUGGUCUUUGUUGGUGAUGCUGGGUGUUGUUACUGCUACUACCAUGGACUACCAGACGGCGUACCUUCUCGGACGGCCACCUCGUUAGUUGUUCAGUAAUAACUGUGACCAUGUUUUGUUCUCUUGACUUGAGAAGAAUAACUUCUCUCAACAGGUCAUGGAUUCGACAAGUGUUGGGUAAUCCUUCAUAAAACACGUCAGUCACUUGAAUUAGCCUUCUAUUAACGAGUUCACUAAGACAACCCCAAGCUACAUCUUCAAUACUCAUUCCUUCUCUCCAUUCUACAAACCUUUCAGCAAUCCACAAAUUAAUUAGGUCAUAGCAUUCUAUUGCAUAAUCCUCUGGGUAGAUACUUGUGUACAACAGACAUGUCUUUAGAUGCCAAGGCAAAUCAUUAUAACUAAGAGAGAGUAUCUUUUUAACUCUAUCUAACUUACCAGUGCCUUCUAAUUCACCCCCAAGACUACGUCGUACCAUCUCCCAUUCCCCUGUUCUGUUUACACCUUUCAAAGCCAAAAGCCCAGUGAUUGCAAGAAUUGCAAGGGGCAAGCCCUCACAUUUACCCAAUAUACCUUUUGCAACAUCCAUCAAAUGGCCAGGGCAACUAUUUCCCUUAAAGAUCUUGUUACAAAAAAGGGUCCACGAAUCUUCAGAGGACAGUGGCUCCAUUCUGUGGAUAUAGCCUAGAGAUUCUGUACAAGAGGCAGAGGCUACAUCAGCUUUUCGAGUUGUUAGCAUGACACGGUUGCCACGACUACUCUCAGGCAGUGCAAAUUUGAUGGUAUUCCAAAAUUCCAUGUCCCAUACAUCAUCAAAAACAAUUGCAUACCUUCCAGCUUGUUGAAGAAAAUCUUUGACAAAUUCUUUCAGCUCGGUGAUAUUCAAAGACUCGAUCGAUUGUGGGACUGGUUUCUUCCCUUCCUCGUGUAACUGCCGAAUCAAGUCUUUCAGGAGGUACUGAAAGUCACAUGUUUGAGAGACAGUUACCCAAGCACGAACUGGGAAAUGCCUUCUGACUUCAGGAUCCUCGUGGACUCUUUUCACUAGGGUAGUUUUGCCAAGUCCUCCCAUACCA